rnacentral:misc_RNA from 1 species
GAUGAAGAACGCAGCGAAAUGCGAUAAGUAAUGUGAAUUGCAGAAUUCAGUGAAUCAUCGAAUCUUUGAACGCACAUUGCACCCGCCAGUAUUCUGGCGGGCAUGCCUGUUCGAGCGUCAUUACAACCCUCAGGCCCCCGGGCCUGGCGUUGGGGAUCGGCGGAGCCCCCCGUGGGCACACGCCGUCCCCCAAAUGCAGUGGCGGUCCCGCCGCAGCUUCCAUCGCGUAGUAGCUAACACCUCGCGACUGGAGAGCGGCGCGGCCACGCCGUAAAACACCCAACUCUUCUGAAGUUGACCUCGAAUCAGGUAGGAAUACCCGCUGAACUUAAGCAUAUCAAUAAGCGGAGGA